rnacentral:hammerhead_ribozyme from 1 species
AUCGAUCUGAUGAGUCCCAAGUAGGAUGAAACGCGCGUCAAACAU